AGGUCUAUAUAAAAGAGACUUCAGAUACAGUAUUAGGGGACCACUAAGACCUAUAUAACACAGACUUCAGAUACAGUAUUAGGGACCACUAAGGUCUAUA